UACAGAGGGGGCAAGCGUUAUUCGGAAUUAUUGGGCGUAAAGGGCGUGUAGGCGGUUUUGUAUGUCUGGCGUGAAAGCCCCGGGCUCACCUCGGGAAGUGCGUUGGAAACUGCAAGACUAGAGUCCCGGAGAGGAAGGUGGAAUUCCAGGUGUAGCGGUGAAAUGCGUAGAUAUCUGGAAGAACACCGGUGGCGAAGGCGGCCUUCUGGACGGUGACUGACGCUGAGACGCGAAAGCGUGGGGAGCAAACAGG
rnacentral:rRNA from 1 species